GACGAACGCUGGCGGCGUGCUUAACACAUGCAAGUCGAGCGGUAAGGCCCUUUCGGGGGUACACGAGCGGCGAACGGGUGAGUAACACGUGGGUGACCUGCCUUUAGCUCUGGGAUAAGCCUGGGAAACUGGGUCUAAUACCGGAUAUGACCCUAUGGCGCAUGUUGUGGGGUGGAAAGCCUUGUGCGGCUAGGGAUGGGCCCGCGGCCUAUCAGCUUGUUGGUGGGGUGAUGGCCUACCAAGGCGACGACGGGUAGCCGGCCUGAGAGGGCGACCGGCCACACUGGGACUGAGACACGGCCCAGACUCCUACGGGAGGCAGCAGUGGGAAUCUUGCGCAAUGGGCGAAAGCCUGACGCAGCGACGCCGCGUGAGGGAUGACGGCCU
rnacentral:rRNA from 1 species